rnacentral:lncRNA from 1 species
GGACACUUGCAUUUAAAGAUGACAAAGGACAAACAAAUUAAGGAUGUGAUAGAGGAAUAGUCCGAGGCAUGACAAGAGGAACAUGCUCACUAAGGACUAAAUCGCAUAAAGACCGCGAACAAGGUUAAUGGCAAGAGACGCCCGUCGGGGCAAGCAUUAUCAGGUGCGUGCUUUUAAAUAUAAUCGCGCAAUUAGCAAUAUGCAACAAACAUGUAAAGAAUGAUUGUCGCAUAUGUAAAUUACAAACUUGGGAAACCUGAAUAGAAUACAUAUCCAGGAUAUUAUUUCCAAGAAAACUAAAUAUAGGUGUUACUUACAUGGGGUGUGAUGUGAAAACUAUAAUAAGGUCGUGUAUGUCAUGUGUUAAUCGCUUACUCUGGCCAAACACAUUUACAUCUGAUGUAGUAAGGACGGGAUAAAUGGGACAAAUUAAAAAGGUACCCAAAAGAAUCAAAUGAGCAAAAUAUUUGAUAAUAAUGUAAACGCACAGCCGAGAGACGGAAGCGUACUACAUUAGGAAAACGAGCCCAAGUGAAGGGACAAAGAAACAUGUAAAAUGAUUUAGACAUGAAUUGGGAGGGGGUGUACUUACACUCAAACCCGGAAAAUGAAAGCAUGUAAAAUGAUUUAGACAUGAAUUGGGAGGGAGUGUACUUACACUCGAACCCGGAAAAUGAAAGCAUGUAAAAUGAUUUAGACAUGAAUUGGGAGGGAGUGUACUUACACUCGAACCCGGAAAAUGCGGAUGUCUCUAAACGAGUCGUUUUUGUAAAACGCCAAACUUGAGAACAAAGUAGGAAUAUAAAAGCGAAACGAAGUCAUAAUGCGUACCGUAAGGGUUGCAAUAAUAACGACUUCGAUAAAACACCCGGUUGGUGGGUAAGGAUUUAAACACAUGCGUAGACCGAGAAACGGGAACUCGGAUGGAAAGUUAAAAGACUUGGAUUUUGAGUCAUUACUAAAAGAUGACAAGAUAAAGUAAAUAGAAGUUUUGAUAAAUCAUGUUCAACUAUUUUAAAGUUGAACGGGUCGAACAAAUAUUGAAGUUUGACAUUCAUAAGUGACGAAUUUUCACACGAACAAGUUAAACGGGUUAGAUAAAACGAAACAUUGGAAAAGAUAAAGAACCCGGUAAUGGGACGAGAUUGAAUGCAAAUCUGAGCGCAAACCGAAGAAAGGAAAGCGCGAGACAUUAAUGAACCCAUGUAAUGGGUCAGAAUUAAAUAUGAGAUGAUUGUGGACACGAAUCACAGUCGGCAUGAGCGAAAUUUUGAUGCAAAAAAAAAAAAAACAAACAAAUAAUU